rnacentral:tRNA from 1 species
GAUCAGGUGGCCGAGUGGUUAAGGCGAUGGACUGCUAAUCCAUUGGGGUUUCCAUUGUUUUGCUUGUCGGGGAGGGAUUCAUUUUCCUUAAUCA